rnacentral:lncRNA from 10 species
CACGCCCUCCCAUCUCUCCCUCCUUCCUGCCGUCCCCCGCCUGAGGGAGGGGAGCGGUGCAGCAGACAUCCGAGGGCAGCUGGGACCCCCUGACUCAGCCGACGGGUGAGUCAGGCUCCCUGCAGGCCACACCGGACCCCCCCAGGGCGGGGAUUUCCCCAAGAUGAGAAAUCAGCCACCGGAAGUCACGCCGGACCUUGGACGGGCAGACAGAGGCUGGGAGGAGUUCUGGGUGCAGAGCCCCCCAACCUGUGCUCUCAUCUCUUGCUCUGGGGUAAGCCAGUGGCCAUGCUAUAAGGACACUCAAGCCACCCUAUGAAGAAGCCCACAUGAAGAGGAACUGAGAUAUCUGGCCAACAGCCAGCCAGUCACUGAGCCUGCCAACCACGCUGUGGCAGGUACCUCCAGCCCCAGACACCUGCAGCCUCCACUGAAAGCUCAAUGGCAGCCUCAUGAGACCCUGGACCGGAACCACCCAACGAAGCGGCUCCUGUAUUCCUGAUUGACAGAAACUACGGGAUCAUAAAUGCUUGCUGUUCAGUCUGCCAAGUGUUGGCGUGAUUUGUUAAACAGCAACCAGUAACUAAUACGCCACCCAUGGCUGCCGCGUUCCUGCUGUGGGGCCAGCACUAUUCCAUGCUUAGAGGCUCCAUCAAUACCUGUGAUGGACUAAAUGGUCAGUACAAACAACAGCUCCUCUGUAAUGGUAUGAGGCAGACAGGUUUCUAAAGGCAAUAUGCUAAGGUGCAAACUCAACCCCAAAAGACCACAUAGUGUAUCAUCCCAUUUAUAUGAAAUGUCCAGAACAGGCAAAUCCAUAGAGACAGAAAGCAGAUUAGUGGUUGCCAGAGGCUGAGAGAUGGAAGAAAAGUAGAGAGUAACUGCUAAUGGUGUGAAAUCUCUUUUUGGAGUGAUGAAAAUGUUUUAAUUUUUUUUUUUUAAUAGAGACAGGGUCUCACUAUAUUGCCCAGGCAUGAUGGCUCAUGCCUGUAAUCCUAGCACUUUGGGAUGCCAAUGCGGGUGGAUCACCUGAGGUUAAGAGUUCGAGACCAGGCUGGCCAACAUGGUGAAACCCCAUCUCUACUAAAAAUACAUAAAGUAGCCCGGUGUGGUGGUGGGCGCCUGUAAUCCCAGCUACUCGGGAGGCUGAAACAGAAGGAUCACUUGAACCCGGGAGGCAGAGGUUGCAAUGAGCCGAGAUCACGCCACUGCACUUCAGCCUGUGUGACAGGAGUGAAACUCCAUCUCAAAAAUAAAAACGAAAACAAUAACAACAACAGCAACAAAAAACCAUUGCAUUGUGCACAUUAAAUGAAUUGUAUGGUAUGUGAAUUCUAGCUCAAUAAAGCUUCUUAUGCUAAAACAUGACGAGGAAGAAGAGGAGGAGGAGAAGAGGCAAAGUCACUGGUGCCCAAGGAAUGGCACCAGGAGUGGUCUCCAGGAAGGCUGGCCACCUGUAGGGCUGGGAGAGCUCUGUGAUGCUGACAUCAGGGGCCUUCUUCAUGCCUGAGAAACAGGACAUGGGCUAAGGGCGGCUAACCAAGGCCUGGGAGAAUAUUGAGAGGUAAACAGGCGAUGUGGGUGUGGGGCGCUCAGCCUACUUGGCCAAAGGGUGAGUUCUUGCUAAUUUCACAGGGAGAGCCUGACUGGUCUCAAGCACCUGAGGCCCAGCAUGAGAAGUCAACAUCCCUGACUUCUCAUCCUCUAUAGAAAUUUCCCCCAGACCAGGCGCGGUGGCUCACGCCUGUAAUCCCAGCACUUUGGCAGGCCAAGGUGGGCGGAUCACCUGAAGUCAGGAGUUCAAGACCAGCCUGGCCAACACCGUGAAACCCCGUCUCUACUAAAAAUACAAAAAUUA